AUGAGCAGUAUAUUAUUAUUCUUUCCAGAGAUGUUUUUGUUGCCUUAAAACCAAACUGCUGGAUUCAUUUGUGUAUUUACUUAUCUUGCAAAGCAGUACAUGACUGAAGAAUGUAUCCUAGUCUGUGUGUUUUUCAUUUCUAGUGUCUUACCAUCAAUUACAGCAUUACUUACCCAUGUUUUCUCUUUCUCAAUACAUCUGGAGUUUUGUUUUUAAUUAGUCAUUGAGACAGAGACUCAUUUUUUAGCACAGUUUUUGAAUGUGCUCUUGAAAAUCUGUAACAUCCAGAGGAAAAGCAGGACUAGACAGUGGAGUUUGUGGUGUCAAGGAAGUCAAGUAAAGGAAUGAGGUUGUGACAAGCAAGUGCACGCCGCUUCACACAUCUUAAGAAAGGGAGAACAGAAUGAUUGAAAAUAGGGCUGGGAGAGCUCUUGGGAGGUCAUCCAGUCCAUCUCCUCACACAGCAAGGUGGUCCGAAUGUCCUAAUGCCACAAUCACACACAAUUCAGAGUGAGCUUUACCAUCAGAGCUUUGCUGCAGUGGAUCCUGGGAACUUACCUGCCUGAAGUGGGAAAGACUAAAUAUCUCUACAAACUGGACUGGGAAACCAGGCAGCUGGAACCAGAUGGUAGUAAAGAAUUGAGCCGACAGAGAAGGGAACCUGUUUUUCCUUCUGGGUGGAAAGAUGUGUGUGUAUCUGUGUGUAUGAGUAUGUGUGAAAGACAGGGGUGAUGAAGAGAUGAAUUUCUUUCUUGUGAUUAUCUUCUUUUGACCCAGCACAGAAAUGAAACAGCCUUGCUAGACCUUUACUGGGUGAAAUGAUUUGUGUUUGUGGAGAAAUAGCAGCAAGUCUAAUGGGUAGGGGGGUGGGUUUGUAUGCAGACUGAGCCUCCAGCGAGCUGCACUAAAAGCUGUGUUUGAUAGCAUCAAAGUGAUUAAAGCAACUUAAUCUGACAAAGUACUACUGAGAAAUUAUUCUAGUUAUGAAUCUUGCAUUAUUUAAUGACCAUUCUUGAAACUUCAGCUCCCGUGAGCAGCUCAUUUAAUGAAAACCUUGGCUUCUAAAAAUUGAGUUGGCUUCCGCUCCUCCCACUCAUGAGAAGUGAGCUGGAAAUUACACCUGAUUGCUCCUGAAAGAUUCAGAACUCAUAAAGCCAUGUAAGAAGAACAGACAUCAGACCUUUAAACCCAUGAUUUUUCAAAACACCCCUCACAACAUUGUUUAAACAAAUUAUCUGUAACUUUUUUUUUUAAACUGCGUUGAUACGAACUUGUGUUUAAAGCACGAAUAUAGAUGUGUAACCUGCAAGUAAUGGAAUCUCUUCUGAGAAGACUCCAGCCCUUUCAAACUUUCAAAUAGGUUCAAAAUACGAACCUAUUCUUACGUUCAUAACAUUGUGGGCAUAAUUCACUGCUGCAUGUGCAUAAUUGACUGUGAAUGCAUACAGAGAUGCAUAUAGGUGUGUUAGGUUUCCCUUCUUCUCUGCCUGAUACACAGAAGAUGUGGCUUUGUUUUAGCCCUUUUUUGACACUUACUUUUCCAUCUGGCUGCAGAGGCCCACAUAUUCAGUACAAGCUGUCCUGGAUUCAGUUAUUGUUCUCAAGAUAGAUGUUGGUUAUCAUUUUUGUGGGAUUUGGUUUAAAGUUCAGUCUGUGCUAGGGCACAUGUGGUCAGGACAUCGUGCCUCCGCAGACAGGAAGCAGAUAACCAGCUGGUCAGUACGGUACACCUCUCUGUAUCUGUUUGAUUAAUGCAGGAUAUGUGUCUGCCACAGCUUUUACCUUCACAUCUCGGCUCUUCAGUUGACUCCUGAUUUCACCCUCAGAGAGUUUAAUUUUCCUCCCAGAUAUGAUUUAUUUCACUGUUGGCUUUUUUUUCCUUAAAAAAACCCAAACAUAACCCAAACAAGCUUAGAAGUAUCCAAUUACUGGCACCAAAUUCAUGAACUUUUGCCCCAUUCAGUGUUUUCCAUUUCCCAUUACAUUCAGUUUGACUGGAGCCACAUGCUGUUCCUAUUCCUAAGCUGACCAUUUCCUGCUGGAAAUGGCAGGGAGAGACUCUGCAUUGACUGGGAGAGGAAUAAUACCUGCAGUUAAUAAUAAUAAUAAUACCUCUCUGCAACCUCUAUGAAUAGUAUACUAAUGUAUAUGUUACCAACAUUUGUAAAAACUCUUCAUUUUCCAAGUAAGACUUGGAAAGACUUGUUUACAUAUGACACUUACUGUACUAUGGAACUAUGGAUUAGUACUAUGGAAUUAUAAGAGCUUUGCUGUACUGUCAGCUGCUAUGAUAAAACCAUAUCAUACAAAGCUUGAAGUUCAGCAAUCGGCUCUUGUUCUGUACUCUACUACAAACUGAUUUCCACAUGUUUUAUUUCAAUUAGGAUAAUCGCAGAUAUGAAUUUAAGUGUCUGCCCUCUUUUAAAGCUGCUGACUUCUUUUUCCCUCCAACAUUUUCAUAGCAGUUAAGCACUGUAGAAAAUAUUUAUUUGACUCAUUUAAGAAUUUUUGUUAUAACUGCAUCGACAGAUAGAGAAGCCUCUAGAAAAAAUGAAACACCUGAUUUUAUUCUAUUUUUCCCUGAGUUGUUCUUUAUGUUAGACACCCCUGUUCUGUCACCUUUGACUUGCUUCCUUCUGAACUGAAGGCUGUUAUGCUGCCUUAAAUCUCUCUGCCUAUGGGGGUCUUUUUAGGCUGCUGAACACUGUAAUUAACCACUUUGGACCUUCCAGGUUUUACUGCCUGUAUGCUGUGCUAAAACUGAAGCCUAGAUAUGGCAAACAGAGUUUCAGAUGAAGGCAUACUGUUAACUAACAUAAUGGCAUUAUUCACCCAACAAUGCUCCGUUUUAAUGACUUUUCAUUUUACUAUUGCUGUGCAGCAGUCAAACACACCUUUUUCCUAUGUAGUCUGGCAAACACUGGCAUUAAAUUUGAAGGUCAAGGCACUUGAGCUUUUAAAUCUGAGCAUCCACAUUUUAUGAAAACCAUUUUAGUUACCUGAUUGUAAGUCUCAUAAAGACUGCAGAACCCUCAAAUUACCUUUUAAAUUCACUAGCUAUGCCUGUUAUUCCCGAGAGGAAAUCUUGGCUAAUGCAACUAGGGCAUCCUUGGUCCUUUUCAUGCUGCAGAUGGAGCCUGGCUUCACCCUGUGCCACUGGCCUGAAUGUGAGUUUUGCACAGUGCUGAGGAGAUCCCAAGCUACAGCGCAAUGAGUCUGAUG